GACUAUACGAUACAAACUAAAUAUAUAAUUAGAUGAAACAUACUGUAAACUUUUAUGGUACACAUUCAACAAUGAUCGAAUACACAUCUACAACUAAAUUAAUACAUAGUUUUUCAAAUUUAGUUUCAUUAGUAUAGAGUAUAUAAUUAAUUAAUAUACAUCUAACAAAUAUUCAUCUAACAUUUCAGUAAACACAUUUAGAUAAAGUGAUAUAUAGUUUUCAAAGUAUAGCAUUCAUCAAUAUAUAAUGCAUCAACAAAUGAUACACACUAGAUGGCUUAUUGAUACAUACUAAAAAUUUUUUUUGAUACACAUCCAGUAACGAUCUAAUACACACCUAC
rnacentral:lncRNA from 1 species